ACUAAAGACUCGUGGAGCUGACCUGUACUAAUAAGCCGAUAUCUUGAAAACACUUUGCUUGCGUCCACUAUGUGGUUCCCGAUAUACGGUCGGGUGCUAAUUGAACAACCAGCUUGACUGGUCGAUUCAUCACAGAUUUCAUGGCCUCCGGGUCGUGUAUGAGGUGUUUCGGCGGCCAUAGCGAGAGGGAAACGCCCGGUCACAUUCCGAACCCGGAAGCUAAGACUCUCAGCGCCGAUGGUACUGCAGGGGGGACCCUGUGGGAGAGUAGGACACCGCCGGAC
rnacentral:rRNA from 1 species